rnacentral:misc_RNA from 1 species
GCUUGUGACCAUUGCCCUUUGAUUGCCCUAUCAUAUUUGAUUAUCUGUGUGAUGGAGAACCGCGGCAGGAGGGAGUUGAGCCCCAAGUCUCAAAGCACCGGGCAUGGCAUAAAGCAUGCAAAAUAGUGGCAGCGGAACUUGAGGACCAGCUACAGAAGACUGGCAAGACUCAUGAUGUUAUUCAAACUGGCUAUCACCUUGAUGCAGAUCCCAAAUCAAAGAUUACGACAAAAUAUAGAAAAUCCGAGCUCCGACUUUUGGAGGUUUUAGAAGAUGUGUGUGAAGGUAUCCUCUCGUACAAUGUGCACAAGGAGCGGACAGACAGCACACGCUUUGCCAAGGGCCGCAGUCAGACCUUCCAGACUCUCCACAACCUUGUUGACAAAGGCGUCAAAGUGGACCUUGGAAUCCCACAUGAACUGUGGGAUAAACCCAGUGCAGAAAUAACCGACCUGAAGAACAAGUGUGAUGCGCUGAUAGAGGACUUUGAGGAGGUGAUCACGCAGUGGUACAAUGAGUACCAGGAGGCCAUCCCCCUGUCUACCUUCCUCUGCUCGCGCCACGUGCUAGCAAAGGACGACGACGCGUGCCUCUCGGACCCGCCGGCGGCUCCCGUGCGCGACGAGCUCUGACACGUGGCGCCCGAGAUCGUGGACCCGCCGCCGCCUGGACGCUCAUAUUGACGUGGCAGACCGCUACUGGCCGUGCUGAACUGGUAACUGAGACAAUGGUGGUGCGUUGGGAUCAUGUGGGCUCAGUCGGUAGGCCCAGCUCAGUAUUUAUUUGUUUGAAACCGGUUUUAAAACUGAGCAUGAAAGUUAAGUGUUCAGGUGGAACUGCCAGUGAAGUCGAAAUCAAUUUUAAUGCCUGACGAGUCGUUAGUUCCGUAUUCCCAAUAGAUUGAUUUCAUUUGAGUGAUUCUUCCGUACGUGAUUGAGAUCAGAGAUGUGUCGCAAGUUGAAUCAUUUUACCAGUAGGUACCAAUUCGUCAUUUUUUACACAUCAUCUGUAUAUUAAAUGUGUAUCUACGCUUACAUCAUUUAGUGUUUUGUGCGUCUGUAUGCUUAUGAGCUUGAUCUCUUGCUGGUGUAUCAAUAUACAAGGUACAUGACAUUUUA